rnacentral:rRNA from 1 species
GACGUAGGGCGCAAGCGUUGUCCGGAUUUAUUGGGCGUAAAGAGCUCGUAGGCGGCUUGUCGCGUCGACUGUGAAAACCUGAGGCUCAACCUCAGGCCUGCAGUCGAUACGAGCAGACUAGAGUGUUGCAGGGGAGACUGGAAUUCCUGGUGUAGCGGUGAAAUGCGCAGAUAUCAGGAGGAACACCGGUGGCGAAGGCGGAUCUCUGGGCCUUACCUGACGCUGAGGCGCGAAAGCUAGGGGAGCGAACAGG